CUCACACAGCACACGGACUCCUAGACUCAUUUCCCCCACAAGUCGCAGUUAUUGACCCGCCUAUACUCCGGGACACCGGCGCGCGCAGUCUAGAAACUCCCUAGCCUAGACUCAAGAUGCCGGCUCCGUGUGAAUCUUGUAAAUCCACGUGCAGCAGCGGUUCUGCCAAUUGCGGCAGUGGCUGCACUUGCGGUCCGAACUGCGCAUGCGGAGAUGGAAAGCCCUCAGGUGGCAAGCCCUGCUGCCAGGGCAAGUAAAAGCUCCCUUUCUUGAAAAAAAUUCUUCAGCUAUGAAGAUUCUAUCAUAUAUUUAAAAUAUUCAUUCAAAAUUAUUAUUUAGAACUUAGUUAAAGUACCUUUAGAUUAGCAAACAUGGUUAACAAACGGAUUAUGGUUAAGUUAAAGUUUAUAACUAUAUUUUAUAAAACUAAAUAUUAAUAUUGUGCUGUCAUGAAAUAAAUACUGAUGUUAGGAUAAUGCUAAUAACUCUUAAAGUAUUAAAAUAUAUUAUUAAGUUAUUUAGUACGUAGUAGCUUAUUGUCUUAUUGUUAGUAUAGAAGUGGAUUAUAGUUUUAUCACAUUCAGUGUUUUUAAUAUAUUUGUCAUAAGAAGGGUCUUUAGUACUGCAAUACUCAUUAAUGUAAGGCUAUGUAUGAGCGCACGCACACAAGCAUAAAUGUUCUGUAGUGUGUUAUAGUUUAAUAAAUAUACGUAAUUUAA